GCCGGGAUGGUGGAACAGGUAGACACAAGGGACUUAAAAUCCCUCGACAUUCAACCGUCGUGCCGGUUCAAGUCCGGUUCCCGGCA
rnacentral:tRNA from 1 species